ensembl:lncRNA
GUUUGUACUCUAUACUGUCGUCAUGGCCCAUGGAAUAUUAUAGGAACCCAAAGGGAAAUAAAUGACAAUCUAGAAACCUCAAGAUGCAUAUCUUACCCCAGAUAACAAACAUUUUCUUUGAAGAGCAUAUCAUCCAUUACCUACUGUGCCAUUUGUAUUGCACUACAGCCAAGCUAAGAUCUGUUACCAGCCGGUCCUGGCCCCAUAGCAUCAGAGCCAGACCGAGGCUCCUGCGGUGGAGGAAUGGGUACAGCGCUCCAAGGACACCUGGAAAGCUGUUCAGGAUUCACUAAGGUUAGCGGGAGAACGGCAGAAGAGGACCUCUGACCAGCACCGCAGUGAGGCCCCCGUGUUUGCACCGGGGGACAGGGUCUGGCUCUCGACCCGAAACCUGCCCCUCCGCCUGCCCUGUCGGAAGCUGGGGCCGCAGUGUGUGGUGCCGUUCAAAGUCCUGAGGAGAAUGAACAAGGUGUGUUACAGGUUACAACUUCCUAUGUAUUACCGUAUUAACCCCUCGUUUCAUGUGUCUCUCCUCAGGCCGGUGGUGGCUGGUCCCCUGCAAGAAGGUGAGGUGCCUGAGGUCCCUCCACCCCCUCUGGACAUCGAGGGGUCCCCGGCGUGCACAGUUCGGGGCAUUCUGGAGACGCCGGGUGGGGGGCCUACAGUACCUCGUGGACUGGGAGGGGUACGGUCCGGAGGAGAGAUGCUGGGUUCCGGUGGGGGACAUUUUGGACCCUUCUCUCCUGAGAGAUUUCCACCGCCUCCACCCGGAUCGCCCAGCACCUCGUCCUCCGGGUCGUCCUCGAGGCCGGUGGCGGCGCGCUGCGGGGGCCGCGCGUCAGGGGGGGGUACUGUCACGACUUCCGCC